AAUUUUGGACAAUGGGGGCAACCCUGAUCCAGCCAUCCCGCGUGUGUGAUGAAGGCCUUCGGGUUGUAAAGCACUUUUGGCAGGGAAGAAAAGGCUUUGGCUAAUACCGGAAACUACUGACGGUACCUGCAGAAUAAGCACCGGCUAACUACGUGCCAGCAGCCGCGGUAAUACGUAGGGUGCAAGCGUUAAUCGGAAUUACUGGGCGUAAAGCGUGCGCAGGCGGUUUGGCAAGAAGGAUGUGAAAUCCCAGGGCUUAACCUUGGAACUGCAUUCUUAACUGCCAGGCUAGAGUAUGUCAGAGGGGGGUAGAAUUCCACGUGUAGCAGUGAAAUGCGUAGAGAUGUGGAGGAAUACCGAUGGCGAAGGCAGCCCCCUGGGAUAAUACUGACGCUCAUACACGAAAGCGUGGGGAGCAAACAGG
rnacentral:rRNA from 1 species